rnacentral:rRNA from 1 species
GAUGAACGCUGACAGAAUGCUUAACACAUGCAAGUCAUUGGCGAAGCUGCGCUUGCGCAGUCUAGCCAAGGCGGACGGGUGAGUAACGCGUAAGGAACUUGCCCUGCAGACAGGGAUAACAGACGGAAACGACUGAUAACACCUGGUAUUGUCAGGCUGGCGCAUGCCGGCCUGAUGAAAGGAGACGCUGCAGGAGAGCCUUGCGUCCUAUUAGCUAGUUGGUGGGGUAACGGCCCACCAAGGCGAUGAUAGGUAGCCGGUCUGAGAGGGUGAACGGCCACAGGGGGACUGAGAUACGGCCCUUACUCCUACGGGAGGCAGCAGUGGGGAAUAUUGGACAAUGGGGGCAACCCUGAUCCAGCAAUUCUGUGUGCACGAAGAAGGUUUUCGGAUUGUAAAGUGCUUUCAGCAGGGAAGAAGAAAGUGACGGUACCUGCAGAAGAAGCGACGGCUAAAUACGUG